AGUGCUGUGAGGCAUUGAGCUAACCUGUACUAAUUGCCCGUGAGGCUUAACCAUACAACACCCAAAGGGUUUUG
rnacentral:rRNA from 1 species